rnacentral:lncRNA from 1 species
CCAAUUUCACAUAAAUUACGAAUCGGAUCUCGAGCGGGAGAUCGGAUUAGCAAUUUUUUUAAGUAAUUGCGAGCCGGAUUUCGAGCUUGAAAAUCGGACUGACAAUCACUAAUUUCGAGGCAAUUUCAUAUCAUGGAAUUUCAAUUUCACAUUAAAGGAAUAAUUACACUAAAAAGAUAAAAUAAAAUAGCAAAAAUAAUAAAACAAAAAUAAGAUAAAGAAAAUACCUAAAUUUUCUUUUGCUUUUCUCUUUUUUUUCUUUUCUUUUUUUCUGAAAAAGAAAAAGAAAAAGAUAAAUCUGGUGGCCGAUCCGGCGAGGGGAGAUCUCCGGCUAGGGUUCCCGCGAGGGCUCCGGAGGAUGGCGCGACGGCGGCGCGGCAACAGGAGCUUCGGGAAUUGGCGCGGCGGCGUCGCGGGUCUGGCUGGGUGCGGGCGUCGCGGGCGUCGCGGGCGAGGGACCCCGAGUGCGGGCUGGAGCAGGGUGAAGACGGCGUCGGGGCGGCGAGGCGGCUUCGGGGUGGCGACACGGCGGCACGGGGAAGGUUGGCUCGGCGGCGGCGCGAUUCUGGAUCUGGAGGAGGAAGGGCGUCGGCUCUGGAUCGGCUGCUGUGGGGAUCUCAGAUCUACAGGCGGCGAGCGGAGGCAGUGUCGGGGCGGCGAGAGCUUCGGGUUGUAGCUCCGGCGACAGAUUGACAGGGCGGCGGCGCCGCUUGCGGGGGCUGGGCGUCGCUCGGCGUCAGGCGGGGCAGCAACGGCGUCGGGUGGUAGAAGCGGCUGUGGCGAGGCGGAGCAGAAGCGGGUCGCGGCUGGGCGUCAGAUCGCAGCAGCGGUGGCGGCGAGCUGCUGCAAGAGCCGCUCAGAGGUGCUGCAGCGGCGGAUUGCGGACGCGAUCGACAGGCGGGUCGCGUACCGGCGUGGGGGUUCGGCAGACGAAGCAGCGAGAGGUUGCAGGCGGAGCGGCGUGCGGCUGACAGACGUCGGGGCUCGGAUGCCGGCACGGGCGAGCGGGGACGGCACGGUCGGACGCCGGAGGGAGCGGACGGCAAUGGCGCCGGCGGAGACCCCCCCUUCGCGAGGAAGAUGAACAGUCGCGUGGGGGGCUUUUCUUUUCCUUUUUUUUUCCUUUCUCUCACGUCAACUCUCUGCUCUCUCUCUCUUUCACUUUUUCUCUACUUUUUCACUGUUGCCGUCCCUUCUCACUUUUUCAGCAAAAGCAAGACCCUUUGACUCUCGCAAAACCCUAAAACAAGAUGGAGAAUUUUUCUCUUUUCGGCUUCUAUUUCUUUUUGCUGAGCAAGAUGAAGAAAACC